GAUUUUUAACAGUGCGUAUGCACGUCCCACGCCGGUUUUCCGUUAGAAAUCACAAUCAACUCGAAAUUUGGCGCAAGUGAGUGAGCGUCUUGUCCCACCCUUUUAACGGCCAUAGUUGCCUAUAAAUAGUCAGUGAAACGCCACUAAUUGAUAUUCCUCCAUAAUGACUGCAUGACUACAAAUCCCGACAGAAAGGCAAUAAAAAGAAACAUUUCACCCAGUGUGAAAUGGACGUUCUUGUAGGGGAGGAUGAAGAAAGAAAAUAUAUGCUUUGGUGGACAUAGUGGGGCUUUACAUGUGGCGGACGCUGUGAAUGCUGCUGGCUCAGAAAUGAAAAGGUGGUCCGACAAAAGGUGCAUCGCCUUAGUGUUCUGCCCCCGCGGAGAAAAGGACACCGGAGCUCAACCCCCUUGCCGGUAAUAUAGGGGAAUCCCUCCUGAGUAGUGACGAAGGGGGACAUGGACAUGCAAGACGCACCGGAUGAUCCAGUCUGCGUGUUCCAGCGGGUUCGGUGGCGCUGCGGAGCGGGAACUGAGUUCCAGUGGGGUCGGUGGCGGAGCAGGAGCUGAAUGCCCCCAGCCCCGGCGUCUCCACUGCACCUCCAGCGGCCGUGUCCUCACAGAUGCAGUCCUGUAAACGCAAAGAGACACCAUCAACGCUAUUAACGAGGUUGCCAAGGAGUUUAAGUGCAGCCACGGCUUUGUUUCUGCUGGUGCUUCUCUGUAAAGAUGGGCCCACUACAACACAGAUCCAAGAGAACCAGCUCAUAAGCCACUCCUUAUCAUUGGCCAGUAGAUCUUGCUGGUCUCUGAUAAGUCGCUCUCGCCAAGUCUUCCAACAGUGCCACCGCAGCCAUUGUGCGUCAUUACGCAUUGUAAUUGCAUGCGUUUUAAUACCCAUCCAUUUGAUUGUCAAAGCUACCCAAUUGCGUAACACCUUCAGGUGUGGUAAUUACCCUGAUUGUAACUGACAGUUCUGCGCAACGAACAUGUGAUAACAAUAUGAAACUGUGCACUCGUAUCUGCCCGACUGAGGCAUCGUAAACAGCUUCAGUUUAAACAGAAUUUGGACUGUUCACAUUAGUAUUUAUGAGAAUACAUUUCAUAACAUGCAUAUAUUGUUUAAUAAUUACAGAUCCGAUUAAACUGGACAACAUGAGGGGUUCUUUGCAAAAACAUAUCUCCGUUUGUAUUUAUCCUAAAUUGUGUCUUUCAUGUGUGUGAACUCCGGGUAACUCAUACCAUGAGGUAAUAUUUCGAUUUUAUUUCACACAUUGGUAUUAAUUUCAAAGCGUUUCUUGAGUUUCCAUCCUUCUGCCAUCGGAGUCGUAGUUUCUCAUUCCUCGAGUUCGUGUGUGUGUACAUGUGGGUCAAAGUGUCCAUGGAGGACCGCACAUUCUCCCGUCAAGUUUUUUUUAUUUUAUUUUUUUAUAAAUUAAAGUGACGAACUAUAUUUAAGCAAUAAGGCACAAAGGGGUGUAGCAUAUGGCCAAUAUACCACGGCAAGAGCUGUUCUUAUGCGCAGAGAUAUUGGCCAUAUCACAACCACCAAGGUGACUUAUUGCUAUUAUAAACUGGUUACCAACAUAACUUGAGCAGUAAAAAUACAUGUUAUCAUACCAGUGGUAUAUAGUCUGAUAUACCACGGCUGUCAGCCAAUCAGCAUUCAGGACUUGAACCAGUUUAUAAUCUUGUUUUAAACACUUUAUACCACCAGGAGGCACUGUCACAUCAC